rnacentral:rRNA from 1 species
ACUCCUACGGAGGCAGCAGUGGGGAAUCUUGGGCAAUGGCCGAGAGGCUGACCCAGCGACGCCGCGUGGGGGAAGAAGGCCUUCGGGUCGUAAACCCCUGUCAGGGAGGAAGAAGGCUUACGGGUUAAUAGCCCGCGGAGUUUGACGGUACUCCCAGAGGAAGCCACGGCUAACUCCGUGCCAGCAGCCGCGGUAAUACGGAGGUGGCGAGCGUUGCCCGGAAUCACUGGGCGUAAAGGGGGCGUAGGCGGCCGGACAAGUCGGACGUGAAAGCCCGGGGCUCAACCCCGGAGUUGCGUUCGAAACUGUUUGGCUUGAGGUCCGGAGAGGCCGGCGGAAUUCCCGGUGUAGGGGUGAAAUCCGUAGAUAUCGGGAGGAACACCGGUGGCGAAGGCGGCCGGCUGGACGGCACCUGACGCUGAGGCCCGAAAGCGUGGGGAGCAAACCGGAUUAGAUACCCGGGUAGUCCACGCCGUAAACGAUGGGUGCUAGGUGUGGGGGGUUAAACCUUCCGUGCCGAAGCUAACGCAAUAAGCACCCCGCCUGGGGAGUACGGCCGCAAGGCUGAAACUCAAAGGAAUUGACGGGGGCCCGCACAAGCGGUGGAGCACGUGGUUUAAUUCGAUGCAAAGCGAAGAACCUUACCUGGGUUUGACAUGCUAGGGGACCUUCCAGAGAUGGGAGGGUGCCCGGGCUUAGCCUGGGAGCCCUAGCACAGGUGCUGCAUGGCUGUCGUCAGCUCGUGUCGUGAGAUGUUGGGUUAAGUCCCGCAACGAGCGCAACCCUCGCCCUUAGUUGCCAGCGGGUGAAGCCGGGCACUCUAGGGGGACUGCCGGGGACAACCCGGAGGAAGGAGGGGAUGACGUCAAGUCAUCAUGGCCCUUAUGCCCAGGGCUACACAC